UGAGAUUGGCAAUGCGUUUUAGAUGCUGGGCUGCUUGCAGUCUUUUUUUUUUUGUACACAGGUCUCACAGAUCCUGAUCCCCCCAGUGCCAUUACCCCAUCAGAAUCACAUCUGAUUGAUGUCAAUUUGGAGAAUGCACACAGGCAACUGCACCUGUGUGCAGUAAACUUCGGGGUGCAGUUCACUAUCGUUCUGGGAGAAGCUAUGCUUGACUGCUGUGGAGACGAGAAUGAAAAACAGAUGUCUUCUUGAAGCAGCAAAACAGGUGGUGUUGGGGUCCUGGAUUUGCAAUAUCAAGCAAUGCACUUCCAGGAGUGCAAGAACAAGGACGACAACUGUCAAGCGGAAGAGUUCUGGGCUGAAAUUCUGAACUACAGGGACAGCAGUGGGGAGCAGUGUUUUAAAGACCUAAGACCUAGGCCUCUCUCAUAUGCUGGCGGUCAGAGAUGGAUAGAGGAUAGGAUUGAUGGAUGGAGGUUUUUGUGGACAGUAGCACUAGUCUUAAGGGGCUAUCACAUUGUACGCGGUAUGCACUCCGCUCGCCGCUAGGUUGCUAUUGGUUGAGGUAACGUCCCAAAGAUUUUUGUUGUGCUUGCCGCUGGGCUCAGCGCAAAAUACCAACAAACCUGAUUGAACUUUGACCGCGGC